GAUGAACGCUAGCGGCAGGCUUAACACAUGCAAGUCGAGGGGCAGCGGGAUGUAGCAAUACAUUGCCGGCGACCGGCGCAAGGGUGCGUAACGCGUGAGCAACAUGCCCGUCACAGGAGGAUAAACCAUGGAAACGUGGCCUAAUACCCCAUAGUAUGUAAUUGAGGCAUCUUAAUUACAUUAAAGCUUCGGUGGUGACGGAUUGGCUCGCGUGACAUUAGCUAGAUGGAGAGGUAACGGCUCACCAUGGCACGAUGUCUAGGGGAACUGAGAGGUUAAUCCCCCACACUGGUACUGAGACACGGACCAGACU
rnacentral:rRNA from 1 species